AGUUGGCGGUGGCUUCACAACAGGAGGCUUUGGUGGUAGAGUUGGCGGUGCUGGUGUUACCGGCGGCGUAGGAUAAUACGGUGGUGUAGGGGUAACAGGAGGCUUUGGUGGUAGAGUCGGAGGCUUGAUCACCGGUGGUUUUGGUGUCGGUGUUACCGGAGGGGUAGGAUAAGGCGGCGGAGUUGGGGUAACAGGAGGCUUUGGUGGUAAAGUUGGUGGGGAAAUGAUUGGUGGUUUGGGUACAUAAGGUGGUGGCUUUACAGUAGGAGGCUUUGGUGGUAAAGUUGGUGGGGAAAUGAUUGGUGGUUUGGGUACAUAAGGUGGUGGCUUUACAGUAGGAGGUUUUGGUAUAUGGGGUGGAUAUACAAUUGGAGGCUUGACAACCGGUGGUUUGGGUACGGUUGGUGGUUUGACAACGGGUGGUUUGGGUACAUAAGGUGGCGGCUUUACAGUAGGAGGUUUUGGUACAUGGGGUGGAUAUACAAUUGGAGGCUUGACAACCGGUGGUUUUGGUACGGUUGGUGGUUUGACAACGGGUGGUUUGGGAACCACCGGAGGUUUGGGUGGCUUAGGUGGGUAGUGUUUGGGAGGUUUAUGGUGAGAGGGUGGCUUUACCUUAG
rnacentral:lncRNA from 1 species